CGAAAAGCAAUGAAAUGGCAUGCAAUAAAAUACAAUUAUCAGUCAAAUUAUAACCAAAGCACAUGGAAUGGUGCUGGAUCAUCCAUUGACUCGUCUAGGGACUGCAGAAAGUUCGCAGGCAUAAGCUAUAUAUAAAAGCUCCUACGGGUCAUCUUUGACUGCUGAGACCAAGAAAGUGCGUGUAAUGGAGAAACUCGCACAAGAUCUGAAGAGAGGAUUCCUCAAUCUAUUUGAAGCUAUCAGAGGUAGCAGAACCUCUCAAGGAAAUGAAAACGGAGAUGAAGCCACGUCAGAAUCAGUGGAGGAAGUAACUGUUCAAGAAAGAGGCGUCAAAGUCGCAGCCAGGGGUCCAAAACGCCCAGCGGUGCCCAAAGGUCCACCCCCUAAGAAUGCUUGAAGAGUCUGCUACUGAAAUUCACAAGUCUUGUACCCAAUCUUGAUUUCUGCUCUAAAUAAUUUAUUUGAGGUUACUUGUGCUGUAAUCAAUCAUCCAUGUUCACUUGUAUUUGAUUUGGUGGGAUUCAUCUUCUCCACUUUGUUUUAGCCCUGUAGGGAAUGUCUUCAUAAGAUCAAGGGUAUAAUUAAGUCUUAUGACUGAUUUCUGGCU